AUUCAGUGAAUCAUCGAAUCUUUGAACGCAUCUUGCGCUUCUUGGUAUUCCGAGAAGCAUGCCUGUUUGAGUGUCAUUAAAUUUUCAAUUCCCCCAGUUAAAAUGGGGGUAGUUUGGAUUUGG
rnacentral:rRNA from 1 species